CAGUAGCCGCGGUAAUACGAAGGGGGCUAGCGUUGUUCGGAUUUACUGGGCGUAAAGCGCACGUAGGCGGACUUUUAAGUCAGGGGUGAAAUCCCGGGGCUCAACCCCGGAACUGCCUUUGAUACUGGAAGUCUUGAGUAUGGUAGAGGUGAGUGGAAUUCCGAGUGUAGAGGUGAAAUUUGUAGAUAUUCGGAGGAACACCAGUGGCGAAGGCGGCUCACUGGACCAUUACUGACGCUGAGGUGCGAAAGCGUGGGGAGCAAACAGGAUUAGAUACCCCGGUAGUCCCUGUCUCUUAUAC
rnacentral:rRNA from 1 species